AGUGAACGCUGGCGGUAGGCCUAACACAUGCAAGUCGAACGGCAGCACAGUAAGAGCUUGCUCUUACGGGUGGCGAGUGGCGGACGGGUGAGGAAUACAUCGGAAUCUACUUUUUCGUGGGGGAUAACGUAGGGAAACUUACGCUAAUACCGCAUACGACCUACGGGUGAAAGCAGGGGAUCUUCGGACCUUGCGCGAUUGAAUGAGCCGAUGUCGGAUUAGCUAGUUGGCGGGGUAAAGGCCCACCAAGGCGACGAUCCGUAGCUGUCUGAGAGGAUGAUCGGCCACACUGGAACUGAGACACGGUCCAGACUCCUACGGGAGGCAGCAGUGGGGAAUAUUGGACAAUGGGCGCAAGCCUGAUCCAGCCAUACCGCGUGGGUGAAGAAGGCCUUCGGGUUGUAAAGCCCUUUUGUUGGGAAAGAAAAGCAGCAGGUUAAUACCCCGCUGUUCUGACGGUACCCAAAGAAUAAGCACCGGCUAACUUCGUG
rnacentral:rRNA from 1 species